UCGAGGAUCAUUCGCAAUGGGCGAAAGCCUGACGAUGCGACGCCGUGUGAGCGAAGAAGGCCUUCGGGUUGUAAAGCUCUUUCGCCUGGGAACAAGAGAAGUAUACAAACAGUAUGCGGAUUUGAGUGUACCAGGUAAAGAAGCACCGGCUAACUCCGUGCCAGCAGCUGCGGUAAUACGGAGGGUGCAAGCAUUAAUCGGAUUUACUGGGCGUAAAGGGCGCGUAGGCGGCCAUACAAGUCAGAUGUGAAAUACCGUGGCUCAACCACGGGGCUGCAUAUGAAACUGUAAGGCUAAGAGGGUAGGCGGAGAAAAUGGAAUUCCACGUGUAGCGGUGAAAUGCGUAGAUAUGUGGAGGAACACCAGAGGCGAAGGCGGUUUUCUAGCCUAACCCAGACGCUGAGGCGCGAAAGCAAGGGGAUCAAACA
rnacentral:rRNA from 1 species